AGUAAUUAUUAUUACUUAUAUUAUCUUGUUGCCUUGUAAAUUCACAACACCACUUUAUAUUUACAUUAAUUUACUACACCUUUAUUUGGUGAAUAUGGAUAUAAACACGGAUAAUAAAUUAAUAUGUGAAGAUUGUGGAAAGUAAUUUUGUUCUACUUCAACAUUGUAUCGGCAUAUGAGGGAUAUACAUAAUAAAAAACAAAGUGAAAAAGAGAGCAAACACAUUAUUUGCCCCCUUUGGCUGGACAAAGAUAAGUUUACAUCCUAAGAUUCUUUAAUAACACACUUUCAUAGUAUUCAUAAUAUACAUAAUAUUAAAGAAUCUGUUUUAAAUUUUAGGAUUUUUGCAGAGUUUGAAGCUUGGAGGUCUCCGGAAAAUAGAGAGGUAGAUUAUGCUGUUCACCGAAGAAAGAAAUCUGCUAAUGGAGAAGAAUGUAUUUACUAUAAUUGUAAUACAAGUGAUUCAAAAAGUACCUAGUUAAUUUUAUAAUUAUUUAAGGUAAUUUUUCAAUAAUUAAUCUAGGAUAUAUCAGUACAUGUCUGCAACAGAAUUUAAAGUCUAAAGAAAGCAUUCGCAUUCAAGGACUCUGUCCAUCAAGAUUAAUAGUUAAAAUUUUGGUAAAUGGAGUGAUUAGAGUAAGAUUUUUUGAAACCCACAUAGGACACACUGAUGAAUUAAGAAGCAAAAGGCUAAUAAAAUCGUAAUUAUCCAUAACGUAAUUAUGGUGGUGAAUUGGGUGAACAUGAUUUAGAAAAGUUUAUGGGUGAUUUUAGAAAUUUUAUGCAGACAGUAAAGCAAAAAGAAAUGGUGAUGAGUAAAAAAGAUAAAAAUAGAAAAGCAGCAGUAUUAUCCCAACAAAAAACCUAAAUAAAGUUAAUCAUAACAAAAUUUUUAUAACUAUUUUAUUAUUGCAUGACAUUGCUUUUAUGAGUGUUCUGGUAUUAAAUCCAAGUGGU